rnacentral:rRNA from 1 species
CCAGCACCUGCGGUAAUUCCAGCUCCAAUAGCAUAUGUUAAUGUUGUUGCGGUUAAAAAGCUCGUAGUUGGAUCUCGGCGGGUCGGGGGCGGUUCGCUCUCUGGCGUGACUGCCCCAUUGACCCGUGGUUUUUGGCGGAGGUCGCCGGGUGCUCUUGACCGAGUGUCCUGCGGCGCCGUCAGGUUUACUUUGAAAAAAUUAGAGUGCUCCAGGCAGGCUUGACACGCUUGAAUAGUCGUGCAUGGAAUGAUGGAAUAGGACGUCGUUUCUAUUUUGUUGGUUUUCGGAAAUCGACGUAAUGAUUGAUAGGGACAGUCGGGGGCAUUAGUAUUCAGGCGACAGAGGUGAAAUUCUUGGACCGUCUGAAGACUCACUACUGCGAAAGCAUUUGCCAAGAAUGUUUUCAUUAAUCA